rnacentral:rRNA from 1 species
UACAGAGGGUGCAAGCGUUAAUCGGAAUUACUGGGCGUAAAGCGCGCGUAGGUGGUUUGUUAAGUUGGAUGUGAAAUCCCCGGGCUCAACCUGGGAACUGCAUUCAAAACUGACAAGCUAGAGUAUGGUAGAGGGUGGUGGAAUUUCCUGUGUAGCGGUGAAAUGCGUAGAGAUGCGGAGGAACACCGAUGGCGAAGGCAGCCCCCCUGGGCUGACACUGACGCUCAGGCACGAAAGCGUGGGGAGCAAACAGG